AGAGCCUUGCCGUGUCCUUUGAAUGGAUUAGUGUGAAGAAAAGUGUGACGGAUCGCGGAAGCGACAGACGAGCUGGCCGGUAUGGUGAGGCUGAGGCGCGACUGUACAGCAGACGAGGGAACACCAGCUGGAGACCAAUAUUUAGACACAGUGCCGAGGCGAGCUAAGAGUGCCACCUCCACCGCUACAUGAGGCACAAAUAACGCGGCACUCCUGCAUUG